UACAGAGACUGCAAGCGUUAUUCGGAUUCACUGGGCGUAAAGGGUGCGCAGGCGGCCAAGUGUGUGAGGCGUGAAAGCCUGGGGCUUAACCCCAGAAUUGCACCUCAAACUAUUUGGCUAGAGCAUUGGAGAGGGUAGCAGAAUUCAUGGUGUAGCAGUGAAAUGCGUAGAUAUCCGGAGGAACACCGGUGGCGAAGGCGGCUUCCUGGACCGACACUGACGCUGAGGCGCGAAAGCUAGGGGAGCAAACGGG
rnacentral:rRNA from 1 species